rnacentral:rRNA from 1 species
AGAGUUUGAUCCUGGCUCAGAUUGAACGCUGGCGGCAUGCCUUACACAUGCAAGUCGAACGGCAGCACGGGUGCUCGCACCUGGUGGCGAGUGGCGAACGGGUGAGUAAUACAUCGGAACAUGUCCUGUAGUGGGGGAUAGCCCGGCGAAAGCCGGAUUAAUACCGCAUACGAUCUACGGAUGAAAGCGGGGGACCUUCGGGCCUCGCGCUAUAGGGUUGGCCGAUGGCUGAUUAGCUAGUUGGUGGGGUAAAGGCCUACCAAGGCGACGAUCAGUAGCUGGUCUGAGAGGACGACCAGCCACACUGGGACUGAGACACGGCCCAGACUCCUACGGGAGGCAGCAGUGGGGAAUUUUGGACAAUGGGCGAAAGCCUGAUCCAGCAAUGCCGCGUGUGUGAAGAAGGCCUUCGGGUUGUAAAGCACUUUUGUCCGGAAAGAAAUCCUUGGUUCUAAUAUAACCGGGGGAUGACGGUACCGGAAGAGUAAGCACCGGCUAACUACGUGCCAGCAGCCGCGGUAAUACGUAGGGUGCGAGCGUUAAUCGGAAUUACUGGGCGUAAAGCGUGCGCAGGCGG